AUUGAACGCUGGCGGCAUGCCUUACACAUGCAAGUCGAACGGUAACAGGUUAAGCUGACGAGUGGCGAACGGGUGAGUAAUGUAUCGGAACGUGCCCAGUCGUGGGGGAUAACUACUCGAAAGAGUGGCUAAUACCGCAUACGACCUGAGGGUGAAAGCGGGGGACCGUAAGGCCUCGCGCGAUUGGAGCGGCCGAUAUCAGAUUAGCUAGUUGGUGGGGUAAAAGCCCACCAAGGCGACGAUCUGUAGCUGGUCUGAGAGGACGACCAGCCACACUGGGACUGAGACACGGCCCAGACUCCUACGGGAGGCAGCAGUGGGGAAUUUUGGACAAUGGGCGCAAGCCUGAUCCAGCAAUGCCGCGUGCAGGAAGAAGGCCUUCGGGUUGUAAACUGCUUUUGUACGGAACGAAACGGUCCGGGUUAAUACCCUGGGCUAAUGACGGUACCGUAAGAAUAAGCACCGGCUAACUACGUGCCAGCCGCCGCCGUAAAAC
rnacentral:rRNA from 1 species